UGGAUCAAUGAUGACUUCUGAUGUUUUGAGUCAUAGGUAAUGAAUACACAUGUGUGGAACUCUGAGAUCCAA
ensembl:snoRNA